rnacentral:rRNA from 1 species
CCUACGGGGUGCUGCAGUGGGGAAUAUUGGACAAUGGGCGAAAGCCUGAUCCAGCCAUGCCGCGUGUGUGAAGAAGGCCUUCGGGUUGUAAAGCACUUUCAGUGGGGAAGAAAGCCUUGGGGCUAAUACCCUCGAGGAAGGACAUCACCCACAGAAGAAGCACCGGCUAACUCCGUGCCAGCAGCCGCGGUAAUACGGAGGGUGCGAGCGUUAAUCGGAAUUACUGGGCGUAAAGCGCGCGUAGGCGGUCUGAUAAGCCGGUUGUGAAAGCCCCGGACUCAACCUGGGAACGGCAUCCGGAACUGUCAGGCUAGAGUGCAGGAGAGGAAGGUAGAAUUCCCGGUGUAGCGGUGAAAUGCGUAGAGAUCGGGAGGAAUACCAGUGGCGAAGGCGGCCUUCUGGACUGACACUGACGCUGAGGUGCGAAAGCGUGGGUAGCAAACAGGAUUAGAUACCCGAGUAGUC